UAAUGUACACCGGAAACUCGAACUCUACACGGUCUGCUAAUGGGUUUAGGUAUUAGCUAGUUCUAACGAUGCAUACCAAUGUACUUGUCUCUGUAGGCUGCCCUAAGAUUUAUGACUCUUUUGCCUUCUGUAGCUGUAAACAAGGAGGGGGAAGGAAGAAAAAAAACCACCCUAGUCUCUGCAUCACUUAGUACAUCAAGGAGUCUUUUUUAAAAACCCAGGUUAUAGGAGAGAGAUUCCUACCAAGUCUGCAACUUUUCCUAAAAUGCUCGUGUUGUGGGUUGUGUCUGUUAUUUCUUUGCUCACGCCUCAGUCAAGAGGACAGCGGCUAACCCCCCCCCACACACACACACACAUACACACACACGCACAAAAGACUCUAUAGAAAGCUAAGCAGAGUUCCAACUCCUACAGCAAGAUGAUGAAGAAUGAUUGGAUUCAGAGCCUAAGCACAAGAGAGGGGGUUCGGAUUCGACUUUGUUGAUUAAAUUAUUCUUGUGCCAGCGCAAAGAGUGCUUAUUGCUUGGAAGAAGAUGGUGGAAUAAGAGGAAAUGCUUGUUUUACAAAGACGACAAUAUUUAUGAUUGCUGGGCUAAAGGUAUUUGUAUAUGAUCGCUUUCUAGAGGAAAGGCCAGAAAGUUUGGUAAAAUUUGUAUGUGAAUGUAUUUUUAAAAUAUAUUAAAUCUCUAGUAUUUUGGACAGGAUUCGCUCUGGGGUGCUGGGGGCGUUGUGUACAAUGAAGAUUACAAACUGAAAGGAAAGGUCCCUCUAUAUACUGUUCAUCUCUAGAAGAAGAUUUACUAUUGGAAGAAUAAUUUGGCCGCAAAUACUUUGGGUUGGGGAAAAUGAGGUUAGGAUGGGUGAGGGGAAAAUAUGUAUGUUAACUGUGUCAGAUUUAUUUGUGCAAAAAUAAUUCUAUUUUAAUUAAGAUUGUUUAAAAAAUACGCUUUCCCCUAUAAUUAUGUGAUUUAAGCAUAUCAUUCAUUAAACAUACUGAAGAUUUUGUUGGCUAGACACUAUUUCUUGAUCUCUGCAGGCCAAUCCGUGCCUGAAUGUUACCUUCGCUGUCGAGUGCAUAUGUACAGUUUUACUGACAUAUUAUCGUGACCGUUAAGUUUAUUUGUGUCACAUAAAGGCAGUCUGGAUAUUAUUUUGUACUCAAUGAAGCCCCUCAAAUAUAUUUCAAUGAAAGGUGUGUGUGUGUGGGGGGGGGGGGGGGGAUUACUGAAGAAUUGAUGCAUGUGAGCUUGAAUUUAAAAUAUUGUUUAAGUUUCUACUUACUGUUAUUGUUCUUAUUAUUGGUUUUUCCCUGAAUGAACUUUGUGUUUUGGCAGAGUUAUGGUGCUUGGAGGCAUUUGAGGACGUAUAUUUCAUCACCAGGGCUCUUAAAUGUCAGAAAGCAAUAUAUAAAUUAGAAAUCUGAUCUUUGAUAUUGUUGAAUCGAAAAACUUACCAAAAUAUUCCAGAAAGGGGGUGUUUCUUUUAAAAUGUGAUUAGCGUUGGCACACGCUACACUUUUUAUUCUUAGGAUUAAAAAAAAUGAGGGGACAGCUCAUCUAUUUAUUUUCGUUUGGUUCCUCCUAGCCAGUGGGUGAUCAAAGGGUAGCUUUAACACUGAAAUCGCCUCCGAUUUUUGAAAUGACAGAGUGUAUUGCAAAUUGCAUUUUGAAUGCAACUAUAGAGUGAUUUCUCUCUCUUUUUUCUCUUUUGCAUCUGAUUUCAGGAUUUCAGUCAGGGAGUGAUAACCACUUAAGACCAAAUACGUUAAUUUUGGAGCUUCCUAAAUACACUUCUUUCCCCCUUCAGAUGUUGCAAACUUCCAUUCGAUUGCUCUUUAAACCACUUCUAUUUUGUUAUUUGAAGAAAACAAAAAAACUUGAACCAGAGAAGAAAGUUGAGUCCUUCUAAUCAUUCGGAGGCACAUGGUGUGGCUUAAAAUGUUCGCUUUGAGAUUCAUAAAAUAUUUAAAGCCACAAGUCAACCCUCUCCUAUUUAUUGCAGUGUAUAAUUCAAAAUUAUCGUGUAUUAAUAAGCCAAUAAUGAUAAUCUCUAUAGGAAAAGCAUGCUAGUUGUGCCGGUUUUAUGGCUGCCCUUAUCCUUUCUAAUGACCUUUGGCUCAGUAGCAUAAUAACUCACUACAGAAUGAGCAAUUGUCUGGAGUGCCUUAAAUACCUCACAGUCUUUUCUACACUCCGGACACUUCCAGAGAGGUAGUCUCUUGCUUCAGAGCAUCCAGAGGAGGGAAGUCUCCCCUCUCCUCUCAAGAUCUGGACUACGGGAGGGGGUGGGGGGACUCUGGACCAGAGGACAAGAGUCUGUUCCCCUAAGGCACUUUAUGGAACUCGGCCGUGCUCUCUCUGCUCACGUGAUCCCGAAUUCUCAGCUGAAAGCCUGGUUAAUUUCACCUCUAUUUCCUUGCACUUGGAAAGUAAAUUCCUACACCACAACCAAAGAUUGUGUUAGUAAGUUAUUGUUAUGCUCCUUGUAAAGGAUGUAUAGGCAUGAGUACUGGGAUCUUGGACGGUUAAAAAAAAUGCAUAGUCUGCUAAUUCUUCAGAGAGGAUUCUUUGCAAGAAAUGAAGUGUAUAUUCUGCAAAAAAUCUCCUUCCCAGGCCCUCGCCGCUGAUCAAAGUUUUGGAGCUGAUGGAAACCGGCUUUCUCUCCUCUUAUGUGCUUGUGUUCAUUAAAGACCAUUUUUAAAUUCAA